GCGCUCACUUCGGCAGCACAUGUGCUAAAAUUGGAACGAUACAGAGAUUAGCAUGGCCCCUGUGCAAGGAUGACACGCAAAUUUGUGAAGUGUUCCAUGUUUUU
rnacentral:snRNA from 1 species